AGAACGAACGCUGGCGGCAUGCCUAACACAUGCAAGUCGAACGCUUUUGGGGCUUCGGUCCCAAAGGAGUGGCGCACGGGUGAGUAGCGCGUGGGAACCUGCCCUGGAGUGGGGGAUAACCGAGGGAAACUUCGGCUAAUACCGCAUACGCCCCGGGACUUGGUCUUCGGAUUAGGUCUGGGGGGAAAGAUUGAUCGCAGCAGGAGGGGCCCGCGUCGGAUUAGCUGGUUGGUGGGGUAACGGCUCACCAAGGCGAUGAUCCGUAGCUGGUCUGAGAGGAUGAUCAGCCACACUGGGACUGAGACACGGCCCAGACUCCUACGGGAGGCAGCAGUGGGGAAUAUUGGACAAUGGGGGCAACCCUGAUCCAGCAAUGCCGCGUGAGUGAUGAAGGCCUUAGGGUUGUAAAGCUCUUUCGCCCGCGACGAUGAUGACGGUAGCGGGAGAAGAAGCCCGGCUAACUUCGUGCCAGCAGCCGC
rnacentral:rRNA from 1 species